CUUGGUCAUUUAGAGGAAGUAAAAGUCGUAACAAGGUUUCCGUAGGUGAACCUGCGGAAGGAUCAUUAUUGAAAUAAACCUGAUGGGUUGCUGCUGGUUCUCUAGGGAGCAUGUGCACACUUGUCAUCUUUAUAUCUCCACCUGUGCACCUUUUGUAGACCUGGAUAUCUUUCUGAAAAAUGCUCUCMCAUUUUUUCAGGUUUGAGGAUUGACUUCUUUGUUCCUUCCUUACAUUUCCAGGCCUAUGUUUCUUCAUAUACCCCAAUGUAUGUUAUAGAAUGUUAAUAAAUGGGCCUUUGUGCCUAUAAACCUUAUACAACUUUCAGCAACGGAUCUCUUGGCUCUCGCAUCGAUGAAGAACGCAGCGAAAUGCGAUAAGUAAUGUGAAUUGCAGAAUUCAGUGAAUCAUCGAAUCUUUGAACGCACCUUGCGCUCCUUGGUAUUCCGAGGAGCAUGCCUGUUUGAGUGUCAUUAAUAUAUCAACCUUCUCAGGUUUUACUUGUUGAGUGUUGGAUGUGGGGGUUGCUGGUCUUUCUUUCUGAGAUCAGCUCCCCUGAAAUGCAUUAGCGGAACCAUUUUUUUUGUUGACCGUUCAUUGGUGUGAUAAUUAUCUACGCUAUUGACGUGAAGCAAGGGUGUUCAGCUUCUAAUAGUCCAUUGACUUGGACAAUUUUU
rnacentral:rRNA from 1 species